GGCCCCGUCGUCUAGCCAGGUCCAGGACACCAGGUUUUCAUCCUGGUAACACGGGUUCAAAUCCCGUCGGGGUCACAA
rnacentral:tRNA from 1 species